ensembl:snoRNA
UGUGGUCCUUAUCGAAGCUGCAGCUGUUUCCAUUUAGCUGCUGUGGUCAAAAAGGAGCCCAAAGUGACAUUUUUUCCUUGACAGUCACCAUUCUGUUUGUUGUAACAGUUCUGAAACAUUUCAGGAAAAGACAGUU